rnacentral:rRNA from 1 species
GUAGGGAAUAUUGGGCAAUGGAUGCAAGUCUGACCCAGCCAUGCCGCGUGCAGGAAGAAGGUCCUCUGGAUUGUAAACUGCUUUUUUGGGGGAAGAAUAGUUUUCUUGCGAGGAAAUGUGACGGUACCCUAAGAAUAAGCCACGGCUAACUACGUGCCAGCAGCCGCGGUAAUACGUAGGUGGCAAGCGUUGUCCGGAUUUAUUGGGUUUAAAGGGUGCGUAGGUGGUUUGAUAAGUCAGUGGUGAAAGCAGGUUGCUCAACAAGCGAAUUGCCAUUGAUACUGUCGGACUUGAGAGAAGUGGAGGUUCAUGGAAUGGAUGGUGUAGCGGAGAAAUGCAUAGAUAUCAUCCAGAACGUCGAUUGCGAAGGCAGUGGGCUGUACUUUAUCUGACACUGAGGCACGAAAGUGUAGGGAUCAAACAGGAUUAGAAACCCGUGUAGUCC